rnacentral:rRNA from 1 species
AAGUCGUAACAAGGUUUCCGUAGGUGAACCUGCGGAAGGAUCAUUAUUGAAUACGAAUCGGUUCUGAUGCUGGCCCUUCACCGGGCAUGUGCUCGCUCCGAAUCUAUUUAUCUUCUCUUGUGCACCUCUUGUAGUCUUUGAAACUCUCGCAGCAAUGCGGUCUGGGGGACUGGGCUUUUUUAACGGCCCUUCCCCUGCUUCAAGGCUAUGUUUUCAUAUACACUAUAAAGUUACAGAAUGUCUUUUAAAGAUUGUCGCUCGCGCGCAGUCAUUAAACCUAUACAACUUUCAGCAACGGAUCUCUUGGCUCUCCCAUCGAUGAAGAACGCAGCGAAAUGCGAUAAGUAAUGUGAAUUGCAGAAUUCAGUGAAUCAUCGAAUCUUUGAACGCACCUUGCGCCCUUUGGUAUUCCGAAGGGCAUGCCUGUUUGAGUGUCAUUAAAUUCUCAACCUUGCUCGCUUUGCGAGUGGGGCUUGGAUGUGAGGGCUUGCUGGCUUCCUUCAGUGGAUGGUCUGCUCCUUUAAAUGCAUUAGUGGGAUCUCUUGUGGACCGUCACUUGGUGUGAUAAUUAUCUAUGCCUCGUCGACUUUGAAGCAAAAUUAUGGGAACCUGCUUAUAACCGUCUCGCAAGGGACAAUAUCUCUGACAUUUUGACCUCAAAUCAGGUAGGACUACCCGCUGAACUUAAGCAUAUCAAUAAGCGGAGGAAAAGAAACUAACAAGGAUUCCCCUAGUAACUGCGAGUGAAGCGGGAAAAGCUCAAAUUUAAAGUCUGGCGGUCACCCUGGCCGUCCGAGUUGUAAUUUAGAGAAGUGUUAUCCGCGCUGGACCGUGUACAAGUCUCCUGGAAUGGAGCGUCAUAGAGGGUGAGAAUCCCGUAUGUGACUGGGUGCUUUUGCCUAUGUAAAGCUCUUUCGACGAGUCGAGUUGUUUGGGAAUGCAGCUCAAAAUGGGUGGUAUAUUUCAUCUAAAGCUAAAUAUUGGCCAGAGACCGAUAGCGCACAAGUAGAGUGAUCGAAAGAUGAAAAGCACUUUGGAAAGAGAGUUAAACAGUACGUGAAAUUGUUGAAAGGGAAGCGCUUGCAACCAGACUUGCACGCUGUUGAUCAUCCAGGCUUCUGUCUGGUGCACUCGGCAGUGUUCAGGCCAGCAUCGGUUUCGGUGGUGGGAUAAAGGCCUUGGGAAUGUAGCUUCUUUCGGGGAGUGUUAUAGCCCUCGGUGCAAUGCCGCCUAUCGGGACCGAGGACCGCGCUUCGGCUAGGAUGCUGGCGUAAUGGUUGUAAGCGACC